rnacentral:rRNA from 1 species
GACGAACGCUGGCGGCGUGCCUAAUACAUGCAAGUAGAACGCUGAAGGAGGAGCUUGCUCUUCUGGAUGAGUUGCGAACGGGUGAGUAACGCGUAGGUAACCUGCCUGGUAGCGGGGGAUAACUAUUGGAAACGAUAGCUAAUACCGCAUAACAGUAGAUGUUGCAUGACAUUUGCUUAAAAGGUGCAAUUGCACCACUACCAGAUGGACCUGCGUUGUAUUAGCUAGUUGGUGGGGUAACGGCUCACCAAGGCGACGAUACAUAGCCGACCUGAGAGGGUGAUCGGCCACACUGGGACUGAGACACGGCCCAGACUCCUACGGGAGGCAGCAGUAGGGAAUCUUCGGCAAUAGACGGAAGUCUGACCGAGCAACGCCGCGUGAGUGAAGAAGGUUUUCGGAUCGUAAAGCUCGGUUGUAAGAGAAGAACGAGUGUGAGAGUGGAAAGUUCACACUGUGACGGUAUCUUACCAGAAAGGGACGGCUAACUACGUG